GGUGGAGUGGCCGAGUGGUUAAGGCGCUGUGUUUAGGUCAUUAGAGUUCCUCUAAUACCAAAAACCGCAGUGGGAAACCUCGCGAGUUCGAAUCUCGUCUCCAUCA